GUUCAACUCAAACCUGUAAAAACCUCACAUAACGGUCCCUGGCUGUGUUUCAUCACCUGUGGCAGCAAUACGUUUAUUGAGCCUCUGGCCAUCACAGUACAAGAGCCUUCAACUACAACAACUCCACCAACCACCCUGAAGAACAUCACAUUGUUUGUAACGAGUGUUCAGAAGACAACACGUACAACACGUACAACACGUGCAACAUGUACUGCCAACGAUUGCCCACUGGGACUCUCCUGUUGGAUGUGGAUUGCAAUCGGAGUCUGCUGUCAGUUUGGGAUAUUCCUGAUAGUUUGUGUCACUGUCUUGUGU